rnacentral:rRNA from 2 species
UGGUAAUGCCGGAUGUUCCAGUUGAUCGCAUGGUCUUCUGGGAAAGCUUUCGCGGUAUGGGAUGGGGUCGCGUCCUAUCAGCUUGACGGCGGGGUAACGGCCCACCGUGGCUUCGACGGGUAGCCGGCCUGAGAGGGCGACCGGCCACAUUGGGACUGAGAUACGGCCCAGACUCCUACGGGAGGCAGCAGUGGGGAAUAUUGCACAAUGGGCGCAAGCCUGAUGCAGCGACGCCGCGUGAGGGAUGGAGGCCUUCGGGUUGUAAACCUCUUUUAUCGGGGAGCAAGCGUGAGUGAGUUUACCCGUUGAAUAAGCACCGGCUAACUACGUGCCAGCAGCCGCGGUAAUACGUAGGGUGCAAGCGUUAUCCGGAAUUAUUGGGCGUAAAGGGCUCGUAGGCGGUUCGUCGCGUCCGGUGUGAAAGUCCAUCGCUUAACGGUGGAUCCGCGCCGGGUACGGGCGGGCUUGAGUGCGGUAGGGGAGACUGGAAUUCCCGGUGUAACGGUGGAAUGUGUAGAUAUCGGGA